GACAGAGGCCUCAAGCGUUAGGCGGAAUCACUGGGCUUAAAGCGUGUGUAGGCGGAUCGUUAAGUGUCUUGUGAAAUCCCACGGCUCACCCGUGGAACUGCUGGGCAUACUGGCGAUCUUGGGCCAACUAGGGGCAACUGGAACGAGCGGUGGAGCGGUGAAAUGCGUAGAUAUCGCUUGGAACGCCAAAGGUGAAAACAGGUUGCUGGGGUUGUGCCGACGCUGAGACACGAAAGCCAGGGGAGCAAACGGG
rnacentral:rRNA from 1 species